rnacentral:rRNA from 1 species
UACGUAGGGCGCAAGCGUUGUCCGGAAUUAUUGGGCGUAAAGAGCUCGUAGGUGGCUUGUCGCGUCUGCCGUGAAAGCCCAUGGCUUAACUGUGGGUCUGCGGUGGAUACGGGCUGGCUAGAGGUAGGUAGGGGCAAGCGGAAUUCCUGGUGUAGCGGUGAAAUGCGCAGAUAUCAGGAGGAACACCGGUGGCGAAGGCGGCUUGCUGGGCCUUACCUGACGCUGAGAAGCGAAAGCGUGGGGAGCGAACAGG